rnacentral:rRNA from 1 species
AUUGAACGCUGGCGGCAGGCCUAACACAUGCAAGUCGAGCGGAUGAAGGGAGCUUGCUCCUGGAUUCAGCGGCGGACGGGUGAGUAAUGCCUAGGAAUCUGCCUGGUAGUGGGGGAUAACGUCCGGAAACGGGCGCUAAUACCGCAUACGUCCUGAGGGAGAAAGUGGGGGAUCUUCGGACCUCACGCUAUCAGAUGAGCCUAGGUCGGAUUAGCUAGUUGGUGGGGUAAAGGCCUACCAAGGCGACGAUCCGUAACUGGUCUGAGAGGAUGAUCAGUCACACUGGAACUGAGACACGGUCCAGACUCUUACGGGAGGCAGCAGUGGGGAAUAUUGGACAAUGGGCGAAAGCCUGAUCCAGCCAUGCCGCGUGUGUGAAGAAGGUCUUCGGAUUGUAAAGCACUUUAAGUUGGGAGGAAGGGCAGUAAGUUAAUACCUUGCUGUUUUGACGUUACCAACAGAAUAAGCACCGGCUAACUUCGU